UAGGGAAUCUUCCGCAAUGGGCGAAAGCCUGACGGAGCAACGCCUCGUGAGUGAUGAAGGUCUUCGGAUCGUAAAACUCUGUUAUUACGGAAGAACAAAUGUGUAAGUAACUAUGCACGUCUUGACGGUACCUAAUCAUAAAGCCACGGCUAACUACGUGCCAGCAGCCGCGGUAAUACGUAGGUGGCAAGAGUUAUCCGGAAUUAUUGGGCGUAAAGCGCGCGUAGGCGGUUUUUUAAGUCUGAUGUGAAAGCACACGGCUCAACCGUGGAGGGUCAUUGGAAACUGGAAAACUUGAGUGCAGAAGAGGAAAGUGGAAUUCCAUGUGUAGCGGUGAAAUGCGCAGAGAUAUGGAGGAACAAGAGUGGCGAAGGCGACUUUGUGGUCUGUAACAGAGGAUGAUGUGCGAAAGCGGGGGGAUCAAACAGG
rnacentral:rRNA from 1 species